rnacentral:rRNA from 1 species
UACGUAGGGUGCAAGCGUUGUCCGGAAUUAUUGGGCGUAAAGAGCUCGUAGGCGGUUUGUCGCGUCUGCUGUGAAAACGCGAGGCUCAACCUCGCGCCUGCAGUGGGUACGGGCAGACUAGAGUGCGGUAGGGGAGACUGGAAUUCCUGGUGUAGCGGUGAAAUGCGCAGAUAUCAGGAGGAACACCGGUGGCGAAGGCGACACGCUGGGCCGUACCUGACACUGAUGCGCGACAGCAUGGGGAGCAAACAGG